rnacentral:rRNA from 1 species
CACGUAGGGGGCGAGCGUUGUCCGGAUUUAUUGGGCGUAAAGGGCUCGUAGGCGGCUCAGUAAGUCGGGUGUGAAACCUCCAGGCUCAACCUGGAGACGCCACUCGAUACUGCUGUGGCUAGAGUCCGGUAGGGGAGCAUGGAAUUCCUGGUGUAGCGGUGAAAUGCGCAGAUAUCAGGAGGAACACCGGUGGCGAAGGCGGGUCUCUGGGCAGUAACUGACGCUGAGGAGCGAAAGCGUGGGGAGCGAACAGG